rnacentral:rRNA from 1 species
UUGACGGGGCCGCACAAGCGGUGGAGCAUGUGGUUUAAUUCGACGCAACGCGAAGAACCUUACCAGGGCUUGACAUCCCCUGACCGCGUAUGAAAGUACGUUUUCACCCUCGGGUGACAGGGAGACAGGUGGUGCAUGGUUGUCGUCAGCUCGUGUCGUGAGAUGUUGGGUUAAGUCCCGCAACGAGCGCAACCCCUAUUGUUAGUUGCCAUCAUUCAGUUGGGCACUCUAGCGAGACUGCCGGUAAUAAACCGGAGGAAGGUGGGGAUGACGUCAAAUCAUCAUGCCCCUUAUGACCUGGGCUACACACGUGCUACAAUGGUUGGUACAACGAGUUGCGAGUCGGUGACGGCGAGCUAAUCUCUUAAAGCCAAUCUCAGUUCGGAUUGUAGGCUGCAACUCGCCUACAUGGAAGUCGGAAUCGCUAGUAAUCGCGGAUCAGCACGCCGCGGUGAAUACGUUCCCGGGCCUU